CUCAAAAGAGACCUGGCAGCUUCCCCUGCUCUCUGCCAGGUCUCCUGCUUCCUGUCCCACGCGGCUCUGUGUGAUAGGAGUGGCGGGGCUAAGAUGUGACAUCACUUCCUGUACUAUCGUCACACACAGAGCCUUCUCACAGCCAGCGAGGGGAAGGAGCAGCAGACUGGGAGACCAGAGAGAAAAGUAUUGUUAUGGACAAAAUACUUGAAUGGAUAAAAUGUCUAUUUUACUCUGUGCAAUUGUGCUGAUUUCUAACCCGUCCCUCGCUUCCUUUGUUCAAGUAACGGUGUUCUAUCA